UCAAUCAUUUAUUUAACGAAUAUAUAUUAUGUUGUUGUUAUAGGGAACUUAGUUUGAUUCGAGUGUAUAUUUCACCUAUCUGUGUUGAAUUAGCUAAAUAGAAUGUAGCUAGCUAAAACUAGCUGUAUGGGCAAGUCAGCAUUGAAAAACACGUCUUGAGAUAUGAAGACAUCAAAUUAGUGACGCUUUCUCCAGUCCGGAGAAAGGAGCACAUGAAAGACGAGGCCAAAGAGCGAGUGAAGGUAGAAAUAGGGUCCCACAAAGGAAGGAGCUGACGGGGCAGGGAGAAGGAGAAGGGACGCAAAGGACGUAGCUCCACUGGGAGCAGCAGUAAGGCCCUCUCCCUGUCAGAACGUAACUCUGGCUCCAGUUCUCCCAGCGGCUCCAGUUCCUCCUCUGCCUCGAGCCGCUCCAGGUCUUCCAGCUCCCGAUCCUCCAGCUCCUCAGGGUCACCCAACCUCAUUCGCCGCCACAACAACAACCACCAAUGGUCACUGUCCAAAUCCAAGGAGAGGCGUAGGAGGAGCCCCAGCCCCUGACCCACCAAGGUGUACCUGGGCCGCCUCAGAAACGUAAUCAAGGGACACAUCCAGGAGAUCUUCGGCACAUAUGGCAAGAUCAAAAUGAUUGACAUGCCUGUGGACAGGCUCCACCCACAACUGUUGAAAGGUUACACCUACAUGGAGUUUGAGAUGGUCGUUGAGGCCGAGAAGGGUCUCAAACACAUGGAUGGAGGUCAGAUUGAUGGACAGGAGAUCAUAGCCCCCGCCCCCCUCACAGGAUGCCUCCACAAUGUGGCGACGCACCCCAUCCCGCAUAAGGAGAAGGUCUCGGUCACCACGGAGACGCUCUCCGGUUCGCCGCAGAACUCGCUUGCGCUCCCCCGGUUGCAGACGCCACAGCUCACGCCAGCUCGAACUCCUCCAGGUAGAGCUGCCUGGAACCCUUGACCUCACAGCUCCCCUCCUCCCUCAUUUUCCAUUUCUUUACUGGAAAAGUUUGUAUCUAAAGUUCUACCCAGCUUCCUAUCCGUGUGUCCUUCCCUCUAAUGAUCACUGACCUCACAGGAAAAAACAAUUGAGACAGCCUUUCUCUCACCAUAGUAUAUUUUUAUUGGUCUGUAAGCAUAAUAAUAGUUGCUAGGAUCAAUUUGAGGCAAGCUAGCACUGUCAAGAGGAGUGAAAUGACCCCCCCCAUCCUCAAGCCAUUGUGAUUUGUCCUAAAGAGCUAAAUGGUGGUUGACAGAAUUCUAAUUUUUGUGGAACUUUUAUAGUUUUGUACAUUGAGUGUUUUUUGUUUUCAUAUGCAACUAUUAAAACUGUUUUUAGUUUGAGGCCAGCUUGACAUGUGCUGCCUGAUUUGUAUUUGUCUUGACAAUAAAACGAAUGAGUCUCGGAAACAAUUUAUGACUGGGUUUCCGUCAGACUCAUUCACACCACCAUACUACAACAUUCCAUAGUACCUUGAGUGGUUAGUAAGGCCCUUUGAUGAAACGUAGUAAAGCAUGUAUUCAAAAUGUUUCCUUACUCAUAAUGCAUACUUAUUCAUAAUGCGUAGGCUAGCUAGACUGGGGGACGAUAUUGUGUACCGUGUGGACACAAGUUUGAAACAUACCACUUUGAGAACCGAGAAGCCACCUCAAAUCAUUUGUCAAGAUUCCAAAACGCAAAACAAAGCAUGGUUCAUUUACCCAAAAAUAUUUAUA